rnacentral:rRNA from 1 species
UGUCGGCUCAUCGCAUCCUGGGGCUGUAGUCGGUCCCAAGGGUUGGGCUGUUCGCCCAUUAAAGCGGUACGCGAGCUGGGUUCAGAACGUCGUGAGACAGUUCGGUCCCUAUCCGUCGCGGGCGUAGGAAAUUUGAGAGGAUCUGUCCUUAGUACGAGAGGACCGGGAUGGACAUACCGCUGGUGUACCAGUUGUUCCGCCAGGAGCAUCGCUGGGUAGCUAAGUAUGGAUGAGAUAAACGCUGAAAGCAUCUAAGUGCGAAACUCACCUCGAGAUAAGAUUUCCCAUUACGUAAGUAAGUAAGAUCCCUGAAAGAUGAUCAGGUAGAUAGGAUGGAAGUGGAAGUGCUGCGAGGCAUGGAGCGGACCAUUACUAAUCGAUCGAGGACUUAACCAAG